rnacentral:rRNA from 1 species
UACGUAGGGUGAGAGCGUUGCCCGGAUUUAUUGGGCGUAAAGGGCGCGUAGGCGGCCUGGCGCGUCGGCUGUGAAAUCUCCCGGCUCAACUGGGAGGGGACGGCCGAUACGGCUGGGCUUGAGCGAGGUAGGGGAGAGUGGAAUUCCCGGUGUAGUGGUGGAAUGCGUAGAUAUCAGGAGGAACACCUAUUGCGAAGGCAGCUCGCUGGGACGUUACUGACGCUGAGACGCGAAAGCGUGGGGAGCAAACAGG